AAGCCUAACACAUGCAAGUCGAACGGCAGCACAGAGGAGCUUGCUCCUUGGGUGGCGAGUGGCGGACCGGUGAGGAAUACAUCGGAAUCUACUCUGUCGUGGGGGAUAACGUAGGGAAACUUACGCUAAUACCGCAUACGACCUACGGGUGAAAGCAGGGAGAUACUUCGAGACCUUGCGCGAUUGAAUGAGCCGAUAGUCGGAUUAAGACUAGUAAGGCGGGGUANAGGCCCACCAAUGGCUGACGAUACCAGUAGCUAGGUACUAGAGAGGAUAGAUACAGCCACACUAGGAACUGAGACACGGUACCAGACUCCUACGGGAGAGCAGCAGAUAGGGGAAUAUAUGGACAAUAGGGACAGCAAGCCUAGAUACCAGCACAUACCG
rnacentral:rRNA from 1 species